ACUUGUCUCAGCAUUUGCCAUAGCACGUGUCACAGUUGAGAUGACCAUGAUACACAAAGUAUCACUACACAAUUUCAAAAAGCUUCAACCCAUACAAGAAAACAUCCCACCACACCAGAAGGCUUCAAACAGCUCCCCUUCCUGUUCUUUAGCCCAACAUUUUAUCUCCUUUAUCUUACAUGCUUUACCUCUGUGUGCCCUCUGUUCCCUUUGGUGGUUGGUCAGUGCACCCGGGCACUCCGUGUCUCAUUACCUUCAAUGCUGCUCACCUGCCCUGUACAGCUGUACCCAUUGGGGAUGAGGCUCAGUGCAUCUGGGCACUCCAUAUUUCAUUGCUUUCAAUACUGGUCACCUGCUUUUCACAGCUGUAGCCCAUUAGGGAUAAGAUUUGUCUGCAGCCCCUCUCCCAAUUACCACAAACUGUGUGCCUACACUUGCUUGCUACCCUGAUGUGUAAGAGGUGUGCUACUUACCAGGGGCAUGUUUCAGGGAUUUCAUUGAGAGAAUACCAAGCUUCAUACAGUCUUCUGACUAUGAUUCACUGCUAAAGUUUUGUCCAGGCACUAGAGAUGCAGCCAGGAGCAGUAUGAACCUCAUCAAUAAGGAUCACAGUUACAGGAGUGGCAGUAAAGGACUAUAGAGCACAAGAUUAUGAGAAAGUAAUUGUGCAUUGAAAAUUUUAAGUUGCAUCUGAAGAAUUUUUAAGAGAAGCUUUGCAGAAAAAUUGAAAGGUUUCCUGCUUCUGAAAUACUACUGAAAUAAAACCAGAAGAUAAUUUAGAUUGGAGAGGACCUCUGGAGCUCACCUGUCAAACCAACUUUGAAGCUGGAUCUAAUUUCAAAGUUUGAUGAACUCGCUUAUUAUCUUCUUUGACUGAUUUUUUAAUAUUUGAAGACAGAUUCAACAAGCAUUGUGUGACCCAGUUGUGGAUUAUGAGGUUUUUUUUGACAAAUCAUGAAUUCCCUUAUUGCAACUGCAGCAGCAGCAGCAUCAGUGAUACGCAACACUGCACUUCUGGAUGAUGUAUCAGAUUAGUCAAACAUCCCUGUUCCACAACCUGUGUGAUUGUGCAAGUAUGUACUGACAUCUGGUGGACGUUUGACCAAACACUUCAAUAAACCAUUGCAACUACAUAAUGCUUAUUCAAAAAAAGUACUUACAGUGGGUUUCAUUGUAUUAGUUCUGAGUGAUUUUUCCAACAACACCUGUGGCAGAAAAUAAAACCCCAGUAAAGAAUUCAACGUCAAGAUUUCUGUUUCUAUCAUUCUAUUUGGGAAGAAAAUAUUUCCAAAGAAAGUCUGACUAUUUUCUGGUUUUAUUUGUAAAAAAAGGCACCUUUUAAAAUAUAUACAGCAGCAGAUCAAAUCAUUUGGACACAUACGACUAUAUUCAUGUAUGUCCAUCUGGCAGUAUGUGACAGAGUUUAGCCCAUCUCUACUUCGGAAACCCCCACAUCAUAGCAUUUGCUGGCUGUUAGUCCAUGAAGCUGUGCUGAAUGAGUACCUACCUGAUCAUAGAACAGACAUUGUUUGAGAAUAAAUGAUUGUACUGGUCGACAGCGGCUCAAUAGGAACUAGCAGUGUGCCCUGGAAGCCAGAAGGGAAGACCACAUCCUGGGAUGCAUCAAAAACAUCGUAACCACUUGGCCCAAAGAGGUGAUUAUCCUGCUGUAUUCAACAUCAGUGCAGCCUCACCUGGAGUGCUGUGUGCAGCUCUGAACCCCAGAAUUUUACAUGGAUGUGAAGGUGCUUGAUUGUGCCCAGGGGAGGGCAACAAAACUGGGGAAAGGUCUGGAAGGGAUGUCCUGUGGAGAGUGGCUGAGGAAUAAUCUAUGGGGCUCUCUAGAGGGGGAGGCUGAGGGGUGACCUCGCAGCUCCUACAGCUCUUUACAGCUUCCUCAGGAGAUGGAGAGGAAGGUGCUGAUCUCCUUUUCCUGGUAUCCAGUGCUAGAAUACAUGAGAAUGGUUCAAAGCUAUUCCAGGGGAGGAACAGACUGGAUAUCAGAAAGUAUUUCUUUGCUAAGAGGGUGGCCAAACACUGUGACAAG